AGUGGUGGAGUGGCCGAGGACUUCAUAACCCAAAACGCUGCUAAGCGCAUUUGUGUUGGUCCGAUUCCAAU
rnacentral:tRNA from 17 species